rnacentral:rRNA from 1 species
CAGUAGCCGCGGUAAAACGGAGGGGGCUAGCGUUGUUCGGAAUUACUGGGCGUAAAGCGCACGUAGGCGGCUUUGCAAGUCAGAGGUGAAAGCCCGGGGCUCAACCCCGGAAUUGCCUUUGAGACUGCAGGGCUAGCAGGUGAGAGAGGUGAGUGGAAUUCCGAGUGUAGAGGUGAAAUUCGUAGAUAUUCGGAAGAACACCAGUGGCGAAGGCGGCUCACUGGCUCAUACUGGACGCUGAGGUGCGAAAGCGUGGGGAGCAAACAGGAUUAGAUACCCCAGUAGUCCCUGUCUCUUAUAA